GACGAACGCUGGCGGCGUGCUUAACACAUGCAAGUCGAACGAAGUGGCGAACGGGUGAGUAACGCGUAAUCAACCUGCCCUUCAGAGGGGGACAACAGUUGGAAACGACUGCUAAUACCGCAUACUGAAGGAGGGGAUUGCGUCUGAUUAGCUAGUUGGAGGGGUAACGGCCCACCAAGGCGAUGAUCAGUAUCGGGUUUGAGAGUAUGAACGGCCACAUUGGGACUGAGACACGGCCCAGACUCCGACGGGAGGAAGAAGGGGGGAAGUUUCCGCAAGGGACGAAAGUUUGACGGAGCAACGCCGCGUGAGUAAUGACGGCCUUCGGGUUGUAAAGCUCUGUUAAUCGGGACGCGGGACCGGAAUAGAAAGCCACGGCUAACUACGUGCAAGAAGCCGCGGUAAUAC
rnacentral:rRNA from 1 species